AUUCAGCUGACGAUUCCAAAAUAGGACGAAACGCGCGUCAAACUAGAU
rnacentral:hammerhead_ribozyme from 1 species